UUCACCUAUGUGAACCUCAUGUAAAUG
rnacentral:piRNA from 1 species